rnacentral:rRNA from 1 species
UACGUAGGGUGCGAGCGUUGUCCGGAAUUAUUGGGCGUAAAGAGCUCGUAGGCGGUCUGUCGCGUCUGCUGUGAAAACCCGAGGCUCAACCUCGGGCCUGCAGUGGGUACGGGCAGACUAGAGUGCGGUAGGGGAGAAUGGAAUUCCUGGUGUAGCGGUGGAAUGCGCAGAUAUCAGGAGGAACACCGGUGGCGAAGGCAGAUCUCUGGGCCAUUACUGACGCUGAGAAGCGAAAGCAUGGGGAGCGAACAGG